UACGUAGGGUGCGAGCGUUGUCCGGAAUUAUUGGGCGUAAAGAGCUCGUAGGCGGUUUGUUGCGUCGGCCGUGAAAACCUGCAGCUUAACUGUGGGCCUGCGGCCGAUACGGGCAGACUUGAGUUCGGUAGGGGAGACUGGAAUUCCUGGUGUAGCGGUGAAAUGCGCAGAUAUCAGGAGGAACACCGGUGGCGAAGGCGGGUCUCUGGGCCGGUACUGACGCUGAGGAGCGAAAGCGUGGGGAGCGAACAGG
rnacentral:rRNA from 1 species